rnacentral:rRNA from 1 species
AGAGUUUGAUCGUGGCUCAGAUUGAACGCUGGCGGCAUGCCUUACACAUGCAAGUCGAACGGCAGCACGGGGGCAACCCUGGUGGCGAGUGGCGAACGGGUGAGUAAUACAUCGGAACGUGUCCUGUAGUGGGGGAUAGCCCGGCGAAAGCCGGAUUAAUACCGCAUACGCUCUACGGAGGAAAGGGGGGGAUCUUAGGACCUCCCGCUACAGGGGCGGCCGAUGGCAGAUUAGCUAGUUGGUGGGGUAAAGGCCUACCAAGGCGACGAUCUGUAGCUGGUCUGAGAGGACGACCAGCCACACUGGGACUGAGACACGGCCCAGACUCCUACGGGAGGCAGCAGUGGGGAAUUUUGGACAAUGGGGGCAACCCUGAUCCAGCAAUGCCGCGUGUGUGAAGAAGGCCUUCGGGUUGUAAAGCACUUUUGUCCGGAAAGAAAACGCCGUGGUUAAUACCCGUGGCGGAUGACGGUACCGGAAGAUAGA